rnacentral:rRNA from 1 species
GACGAACGCUGGCGGCGUGCUUAACACAUGCAAGUCGAACGAAAAGGCCCUGCUUUUGUGGGUGUCACGGUUGCGGAAGGGGGGAGAAAAACGUGGGUAACCUCCCCUUACCUUUGGGAUAACUCUAGGAAAAAGGGGCUAUAACCGCAUAGAACCUCUUGCUCCAUGUGGGGGUUUGGAAAAUUUCGGCGGUGGGGGAUGGCAUAGCGGCUUACCAGCUUGUUGGUGGGGUAGGGGCUUACCAAGGUUUUGACGGGUAGCCGGCCUGAGAGGGUGACCGGCCACAUUGGGACUGAGAUACGGCCCAGACUCCUACGGGAGGCAGCAGUGGGGAAUAUGGCACAAUGGGCGGAAGCCUGAUGCAGCAACGCCGCGUGCGGGAUGACGGCCUUCGGGUUGUAAACCGCUUUCGCCUGUGACGAAGCGUGAGUGACGGUAAUGGGUAAAGAAGCACCGGCUAACUACGUG